rnacentral:rRNA from 1 species
UACGUAGGGUGCAAGCGUUAAUCGGAAUUACUGGGCGUAAAGGGCGCGUAGGCGGUCUUCUAAGUCUUGUGUGAAAUCCCUCGGCUCAACUGAGGAACUGCACGGGAUACUGGAAGACUUGAGUUCGGGAGAGGGAAGCGGAAUUCCGGGUGUAGCGGUGAAAUGCGUAGAUAUCGGGAAGAACACCUGUGGCGAAGGCGGCUCUCUGGGACGGUACUGACGCUGAGACGCGAAAGCGUGGGGAGCAAACAGG